rnacentral:rRNA from 1 species
UCGUACUCUCGGAGUGACGGGUACACUGUGGGGACCGCCGCUGCUAAAGCGGAGGAAGGAAUGGGCAACGGUAGGUCAGUAUGCCCCGAAUAUCCCGGGCUACACGCGAGCUACAAUGGUUGGUACAAUGGGUAUCUACCCCGAAAGGGGAUGGAAAUCUCCUAAAGCCAAUCUUAGUCCGGAUUGAGGGCUGCAACUCGCCCUCAUGAAGCUGGAAUCCGUAGUAAUCGCGUUUCAACAGAACGCGGUGAAUACGUCCCUGCUCCUU